ACUUGUUUCUCUAUGUGGCAAGGCCCUGCGUGUGACUGCGUUUGUGCGUGUCUGUGAGCGCGGUGUGCUGGAAACUGCGUGCUUGGGUCUGUGGCAGGCUGAAUGGAGGAGGGCGGAGGGAGUCCAUGGCUAUGUUUGUACUUGUCUGUGAGCCCGGGGUCAGAUGCGCUCCAUGUGCUACCUCCUGUGUGCACAGGUGGCCGCUGUGUCCAACCGUGUCUUUGUGUGUUUCGGGUCGCCUGAAUGUGCACAGGCGGAGGACAUGGAGGGGGGGAUUUGAGUGCGUGCCUGUGCAGGCCCCUUUAACGUGGCAAGUCUAAGAAAUGUCGGCCUUCUUGGCAGCGAAUCUGGGCUUGGUUCCACUGGGGGCGUCUGCAGAGAGGGGCUCUUAGAAGGGACGUGCUUGAGCGAGAGAGACAGGAAGGGAAGGGGGGGCCAGCCCCAGCUCGGGGUUUCCAGGAGGGAAAGCCAGACGUUGGAACUUGUCAACGCUACCUCCUUCCCUGCCCCCACCUUCCACUGCUGCCUCCCCUCCUGGCGCCUGAAGGCUGCUGGCAGACGGACAGACAGACAGACAGUGCACACAUAGACUGGCUCAUAGGCACAGAGCCCAAACCUGAGCCCCUAAAUGCACAAGCCUGGACACUGAGGUCCAGAGAGGGCAAAGGAAGUAGCUGAGUCUCGGAGGAGCACAUGUGUUUAUGCAUGUUGGGGGCAGGGGGUGCUGUUGGCCUCUGGUGCUUCAACCCAGACUGGAGCCCAGGCCUAGGGCGGGGAAGAGGCUGCGGAGAGCCUCUGGGGAGGGGCUUUUAUGGCUCUAACCAGGCCCUCAAGGCCCCCAGCUCCUCUCCCUGUUUAUACAACUGCUGCAGUGUCUUUGAGAGUCCUGUUGCCUCAAAAAAACACCUACCGCAACUCCCUGUUUGUACAGAGGCAGAAAAGACCCAGAGAGGAGCAGCAGCUGAUCCAGGGUCACACAGCAGAACCAGGACUGGAAUCCAGGGCUCCUUCUCCUAGCUGUGCAUGUUGGCCCAUGGGCCACUUAGUCUUAUCUUUCCCUUGGUCCAUUUAUCUUUUCUUCCUCCCAGGUCUUCGGGAUAUGACAACGACCUCUUUUUUGUGUUGCUUUUGCUGCCCAAGUGAUAUGUCUGUCUGCCUGUUAGUCCAUCUGUUUGUCACAGGGCUUCAAUACCCUCUGGCAGAAUAUGGAAGAGAAGAGGGCUUGGUUUUUGGCCAAGGGCUAUUGGAGAGAUAGGGGUGGGAUGGGGAGACAGAGAAACAGAACGAAAGGAAUUUGAGACGAGAGGAAGGAGGAGAGAAGAGCAAGGGGAGGGCACUGGCGGCAGAGCUGAGAAGCCCAGGCUGCCCUUUACCUCCACCUCCAGCCUGGGCACAGGGGCGAGCUCUGAGUUCAGAGACUCUGAGUCCUGUCUCUUGGGGCCUUGGGGAGGGGACCCCAGGGCUCCUGUAGGGUCUGGGCCCAACCCCCAAACCCUGGGGGCAGCUGGGUUGGAGUCCUGGGGUCAGUAUUCGGGGUGCAGGUGUGGGGUGCAGUGACCGAACUGCCCUCAUGGGAAAAGGAGGGAGGGGAUUGCAGGUACCUAGGGGGCAUGAACCUGGGCAUGCGUUGACUUAGUGUGUGUGGUCUCUUUGCAGCAGGGUUGUUGAGAGUGUGCGUGAGGUUGCGAGUAUGCUAGGACUCUGUGUGGACACCUAUGAACAUACAUGACCCAGUGGCAGACAAGCUGGGAUUUCAGUGGGGAGGGGAAGGACUGCAGGAAUGUGUGUCUAUGACCGGCAGGGAGUGGUUGUCUAUGUGUGGAAGGAUUUGUGUGAACCUGCCUUACAUGUUCUUAGGGAGGCUGUAUCCUGUGUAUGUAGGCAGGUGAACUGUAUAGCUCUGUACAAUUGUGUGUGUUGUGUGUGUGUGUGUGUGUGUGUGUCUGGAUGAAUAUGUAUCAUGUGUUUGAAUUGCUUAAGUAUUUACAUGUUAAAUGUGUAACUGCAUAUAUGUGUGGAUGUGUAUACAUGUUUGUAAUUGUCUUGAGGUAUAUGUGUGGAGUUACCUGUAUGAGUCUUGCCUGUAGGUUGUGUGUGCAGUUGUGUGUAUUUGUGGAGCAGUGAAUAUUAGGAAGCUGUUCACAUGUGCGGCUGUGUAUUUUGGGGGAUUAGGUUAUAUGUGUGGUUCUUUUUGGAUGGAGUUUCACUCUUGUCACCCAGGCUGGAGUGUAGUGUCAGGAUCCCGGCUCACUGCAACCUCUGCCUCCUGAGUUCAAGCAGUUCUCGUGCCUCAGCCUCCCGAGUAGCUGGGAUCACAGGCGUGUGCCACCACGCCUGGCUAAUUUUUGUAUUUUUAGUAGAGACGGGGUUUUGCCAUGUUGCCCAGGCUGGUCUUGAACUCCUGGCCUCAAGUGAUCUGUCCACCUCGACCUCCCAAAGGGCUGCGAUCACAGGUGCGAGCCACCGUGCCUGGCCUAUAUUUGUGGUUCUUAAGGCUAUACUUUAUUUUUUAUUUUUUGUUUAUUGUCAAACUUCCCCUGUCAGAAUGUAAACUCUAUUAGGACUGAAAUUUUUAUCUAUUUUGCUAACUAUUUUGCUAAUCUAUUCCUAGUGUCCAGAAUAGGGCCCAACACUUAGUAGGCACUGUAUACAUAUUUCUCCAAUGAAUGAUGAAUGAAAGUGUGCAUGCUUGGCAGGGUGUGGGAAGUGUGUUAGGUGUAUGAAUCGUGCGUGUGUGUCUGGGUGUGUGAAUGGAUAAAUUUUUUGUGUCUUGAGUGUGUGAGGUUUCUAGCAUAAGUGGCCUAUGAACCAAGUACGUGCACAGGUGCAUGUGUGUCUAGGCGUGUGACUGUGUACCUGAAGCUGGGCCACGUCUGUGAGCAUUGCACACAACUGUGUGUGUGCACAGUUGUGUGUGCUUGUACAUGGGGGUGGGAAGGCGCUGUCGGCUUCUCCCAGCCUUCAGCACUCACUCAGCUUCACCCCAGGUCGCCUGCUGCGAAAUGUCAGUGGCAGAGAAGCUAAAAAUAUCUGCUCUCCUCCUUCUGCUCACUGCUUGGGCUGAUGGGACUGUGGGGCCCCAGCCGGCCCCUUGGGCCCUGCGGGGAGGAGGAACUGCUGGAUGAGGGGGCGGGGUACAGGGGAAGGAAGGGAGGCCCUCCUCCGUACACACCCUUCCCCCUUUCCUCUUGGGCUCCAAAGCCAGGCUUCAGGCUCACCUCUUUCAGGAAGCCCUCAAGAACCCCCCAGGAGCUGUGUGUGUCUGUGUGUCUGUCUACCUGGCAAGGAGAUAUGGCCCCCAUCAGACUGGAGCUCCACAGAGCAGGUCUGUGCCUCUUCUGCCCAUCCAGGGACUCCAGGGGACAGAGCUCUGUCUCCUUCAGACCAGGGGCUCCCAGGGAAAAGGCUGGUGCUGUCUCCUCCCUAAGCCUGAGGGUUACGGAUGCAGCCCAGGCCAGACAGGGCUUCACUGGGCUCUGGUUCUGGGGCCACUAGGGCCCUCUGACCCCAGGGCAGAUCUGCUGUGAUGAUGCGCUUGUGGGUAGGGAGGAGUCUCAGCUCUGCCCACACCACACCCUAGGCUGGCACGUGUUUGUGCUAUGGGUACUUGUGUGGGUGCAGGUGGGACAUGUCAGGGCCCGUGGUCCUCUGGGGACCUGUGCCUCUCCACAUGUCGGGCUCCUGCCUGCAUCAGUGGUGUCAGCGACUGCCUGCCUUGGGCACUGUGGUCAAUCAGUACAAGUUGAGUGUAUUGUAUGUUUCUCUGUGUUCUUUUUUUUUUUUUUUGGGGGGGGGACGGAGUCUCUCUCUGACACCUCCUGAGUAGCUGGGACUACAGGCAUGUGCCACCACACCCGGCUAAUUUUUUGUAUUUUUAGUAGCAAGAGGGUUUCAUCAUGUUAGCCAGGAUGGUCUCGAUCUCCUGACCUCAGGUGAUCUGCCCGCCUCGGCCUCCCAAAGUGCUGGGAUUACAGGCGUGAGCCACCACACCCGACCUUCUCUGUGUUCUUGUGUGUGCACAUGGAUGACUGUGUAUGUGGGUUUCUGCCUUUCAUUGUGCAGGCCUGCAGAUACUAGCAGGGAUGGACUCUGCAUUCAUGUGGGAGUUGCUGAUGUCACCAUGGGGGGUUUCUGUUUGUGUGUCAGUGUGCUCGGGUGUGUGUCUCUGUCAGAAGGUCAGUGCCUGUUUGUUCUGUGUAUGGAGGUGUAUGUGGGUGCAUCUGUGUGUCAGUGUUUCAAUUACCAUGUUUCUGUGUGUCUGUGUGUCUGUCUUCCUGGUUGUCAUUAUGUCUGCGGUACCUCCGUGCCUGUGUUGCGUGCCUAGGUCAGUUUGAUUUUGCAGGUCUGUAGGGCCACGUGUCCCUCUGUAUGUUGGUGUUUUCCAUGUGGGUUGGAAUCUGCCUCUGCUUUUCCUAAUCUCCCACCAUUUCUGUGUGGAAGGCCUCAGGCAUUGUGUGUGUGUGUGUGUGUGUGUGUAUGUGUGUGUGUGUUCAGCAACUUUCCCCAGCCCCAAAGCCUGCAACCCUGAGAUCUGCUCUCCCACUCUUUCUCCGUUGGACUUCAGGUGGGAGCUGAAGCAAAGAGGGCAGGCAGGCAGGGAGCCCACGACAGCCGGGGGCCGGGGCCAGGCUGCCACGAGGGCCCUACCUCAGCUUUCCUCCAAGCAAGCGCUAAGCCAGAGCCUCGGUUACAUGUAAACACCAGCUGUGUCAAGACGGCGCAGCUUCUUCUAGGUCAACAGACAGCUGUGGGGUUGCUAGGCAACCGCCUGGCUCCCCCCUCCAUUAGGCCCCCUCCCACUGCCUCUACCUGCAAACCCUCUGCUGGCUCCCCCCACGCCAGGAUAGGCCUCACCCCUCCGCGCCAAUUAACACAGCGGGACUGAGGGGGUAGGGGGUCAGGGCAGCUCCGGGACUGGAAUCAAGAUGGAGUCUGGAUCUGUCACGCAGGCUGGAGUGUAGUCGCGCGAUCUCAGCUCACUGCAACCUGUGCCUCCCAGGUCAAGCGAUUCUCCUGCCUCGGCCUCCCAAGGAACUGGAACCACAGGCGCGUGCCACCGCGCCCAAGGAUUUUCACUUUUAACUGUACAGUGAAGCACAGACUUCUGAGCCAGACUGCUUGGUCUGAACUCUGGUGUCACCACUUAGUAAGUUCUGGUUUGAAUGUACUCACUGAGUGGUCUUCAUAAAUUACCUCUCUGCA